CUUCCAUCCAGUACAGAGCGGGUGGGGAUCCCUGUUCCAGCCUCCCGCCCGGGCCAGGCGCCUCCUCGUGUUGCUCUCAGGCAGGAGCCUGUUAGCAAACGAGCACCCAGGCUCCUCGCCUGUUUUUAUAAAUAAAGUUUUAUUGGCACACGGCCACGCCCAUCUGUGUAUGUAUUGUCCCUGACGUCGGCUCCAGGGGACACCUGGAGCUGAGAAGGAGCACCCCCAGAGCUGUCCUAGGGCCUCCAAGAUGCGUCUCUGAGCAGGACGGGACCUGAUGGUUGCUGUGCAAAUUGCAGGACACGGGGAGAGAAGCUGGGCGGAAGGUUCUGCCCUCCCCUCUCCCCCACCAGGCCCAGUGCCCAGCGGCACCCAAUACUAGCUGCUCCUCCCUCCUGCCCGGCAGUGGACGGCCUCAGGCGUCCAGGGGCGCGGGACCCCAGGGCAGGCUUGGCACACCUGGCAGUGGGAAUGGACAGCAGAUAGGAUGACAAGCACCCACAAACCAGACCACCCAGCUCUUCCCACACACGGGGUCUCCAACACCCUUUGGUGGUCUCCUGGGGCAGAAAUUGUGGGUGCCGUGGGAAACUUCCAGGCUUCUCCCCAUUCUUGCAGAGUAACCUGGAACGCAGGCUGGCAGGGUUUCUAGACAACAGGCCUCGAGCAGGGGCCGCAGAUCUUACCUGUUCUCCGCUUGCUGCGACCAGGGCCCACCCCUCGGAGAGGACAGGGAGCCGCUGCCUUUCUAAGGACAGCUGCCAGUCACUCAUGCCAGUGGGUAUCUUCCUGGGAGAGGAGGAGUCCUUCCUGGUGGUGCUGGGGAUCUCCGAUCCGUGGGGAGUUUUCUUGAAGGUCAGCCCCCGGGGAGGUCUGUGCCUCCUGCUGCUGAGAGAAGCUCUGAAGGGUCCAGUUUCUCCCUGCUCAGCAGAGAAUUCUGCCGGCUCCAACCCAAGCCCCAGAAAAGCACUUGCUCUAGCCCACAUCUUCCCCACAUUUAAGACGAUGGUGGUGGGCAGUCAGCCGCUUGUGGGUCCACGAGCAUCCGGAUGUUUCUCCAGGGAUGCGCAGCAGCCGUCAGCACGCCAUGCACCGCCCGUGGUUACGGCAGAUGUUGUCACAAGCUCAACUUUCGAAGCGUAUGUGUCACAAUUCAUCAGGUUGCCAGUUGCGUCGCAGUCGGCCGUUUGUAGCCCACAGGGGAUCUCACAGAAAAGCUCACGCCUGGAAAAGUUCUUCUCAGCAUCUCACCAAACCUCCCAUCCUCUUGGUUCACGGUACGUCCCCGUGUUCGAAGGCCUGCUGUCCGUCAGGAUCAGCUGGCCCCCUGCUCCUGCCCCGGCACCAGGACCCAGGAGGACGGGGCAGCUGGCGGGGCACCGAGCUGGUCCACAGGUAGCAGGACGGGGCGGGUCAGCCAGGGCGGAGGUGCUGUCCACACUCUGGUGUGAGGCUCUUGGUUUAUCAAAACUGAGAUGGAACAAAAUGCCUUCUUCAUAA
rnacentral:lncRNA from 1 species